UACGGAGGGUGCAAGCGUUAUCCGGAUUUAUUGGGUUUAAAGGGUCCGCAGGCGGACUAGUAAGUCAGGGGUGAAAUCCGGCAGCUCAACUGUCGAACUGCCUUUGAAACUGCUGGUCUUGAGUGAGAAUGAAGCAGCUGGAAUGUGUGGUGUAGCGGUGAAAUGCAUAGAUAUCACGAGGAACUCCGAUUGCGCAGGCAGCUUACUAAACUACUACUGACGCUCAUGCACGAAGGCGUGGGGAUCAAACA
rnacentral:rRNA from 1 species